UAUAACAUCGAGCCAGAGAUGAUCAUUGAAUCGUUCCUUGAUUUCUUUGUAUAUCAAGUACUGCAGAAUACAAAAUCCAGAGUGUGCAAACUUAUUUAAUAUCAAGGAGAUAAGGAAGCAUGCAGCAAACUUUAAAAUAAAAUGAUUUUUCUGUGACACUAUCAACUGUAAGAAAUAACAACACUUAUCCCUCCAUAACCUUGCCUAGAUAUUAGGCACGUGGUAAAGCGCAAACACUGUUGUUUCAACAA